rnacentral:pre_miRNA from 9 species
UCUCGAUGGCGUAAACGUUAACUCAAUUUUGUAUGAAGUUGGAACGUUUGCCUAUGUUGGUCGCUAGGGGCGCUGUUCCAACUGCAUACAUAUUUGAGCUAACUUUUACGCUAUCGA